rnacentral:tRNA from 1 species
GGGGCAGUCAUCGGUAUGACGCGGAAGACUUUGGACCUACCGCGCGCCAGUUCGACUCUGGUCUGCUCCA